CAAAGGGAUUACCGGUGGCGGAUGGGCAUGCGGCGCAUUAGCUAGUCGGCGGGGUAACGGCCCACCGAGGCGACGAUGCGUAGGGGUUCUGAGAGGAAGGUCCCCCACACUGGUACUGAGACACGGACCAGACUCCUACGGGAGGCAGCAGUGAGGAAUAUUGGUCAAUGGGCGCGAGCCUGAACCAGCCAAGUCGCGUGAGGGAUGACGGUCCUACGGAUUGUAAACCUCUUUUGCCGGGGAGCAAGCGUGCGUUCGUGAACGCGCGUCGAGAGUACCCGGAGAAAAAGCAUCGGCUAACUCCGUGCCAGCAGCCGCGGUAAUACGGAGGAUGCGAGCGUUAUCCGGAUUUAUUGGGUUUAAAGGGUGCGUAGGCGGGAUGCCAAGUCAGCGGUAAAAAUGCGGUGCUCAACGCCGUCGAGCCGUUGAAACUGGCGUUCUUGAGUGGGCGAGAAGUAUGCGGAAUGCGUGGUGUAGCGGUGAAAUGCAUAGAUAUCACGCAGAACUCCGAUUGCGAAGGCAGCAUACCGGCGCCCUACUGACGCUGAGGCACGAAAGCGUGGGUAUCGAACAGGAUUAGAUACCCUGGUAGUCCACGCAGUAAACGAUGAAUGCUAACUGUCCGGCUCGAAUGAGCGCUGG
rnacentral:rRNA from 1 species